GUUAGUCUAGGAAUACAGGUAUGAUUUCAAUAUUAAGAAACCUGUCAACAUAAUUCAUCAUGCCAGCAAAUUAGCGGGGGAAAAAUAGUGAUUAUAUAAAUAGAUGAUUAAAAGGCAUUUGAAAAAGUUGAGCAGUCAUCCCAAUUAAAAACUCUCUGUAACAUCUGACUAGAUGUUUUAGUCAGCAGAAGCUAACUUGUCCUACAAAGAGCCCCAAACUUUAUUGGCUUGACACAGUAAGUUAUUUUUCCUCAUGUCAUAAUCCAGUGUGGGACAACAAUGGAGCUCUCCUACCCACAGUCAUUCAAAGACCUGGGCUCUUUCCAUCAGUAGUUCUUCCAUCUUCUAGAAAGAUGUCCCAAGUCCUCUGCAUCUGACUGGUAGAGAAAGGAAGGCAGUGUGGAGAGUGUGGGAGGCUCAGGGUUAGUACUGGAAACAUAAUCUCUUUUUUCCACCCACAUUCUUCUGAUCAAAAUUCAGUUAGGUUGGGUCUACAUAACCAUAAGCAAGACUGGAAAAUGUAGUUGAUCUUGGACACAAGAUAAAUACACAAAGAUACAUAAAUAUGUGAAUAUACAUACGUGUGUACAUUGUUCUCCAUAUGUUCUCUUCGUUUGCUUCUAUCUAAAUAACUCUUGGGGUUUACACAAGCUCUCAAUGUCAUCUGUGAAACCUACAGACUAUUGCUUAUGGCAGAAAAAAUGCACUCAACUUGUGAGCUACUCGCUUACAUAACCAUGUACUCCACUUUUACCAGAUGAGUUGUUUGUUUACCAAUUUCUAGUUGUGCUUGCUCCUAAACAUUUUUAUGACAGUUGUACUGUUAUUAUAAACCAAGUAACUUGAACAAAUACUACUGAAGCCAACACAUAAUAAUGUGAUAAGAAUGAAUUUUUGUUUUCAUGGAAGCUGUUGUCUGCUUUAGAAAGGUUCAAUAAAGACAGGUUGCAAAAAAAUGCUGUUGGUUUGGGCAUAACAAUUGUAAAGCAUAAGGAGAAAAUUUUAAGAUUUUGUAUUUGCAUUUUUCUACAAGUCUUAUUAAGUUAUUGAACCACAUUAGAGAAAUCCAAACUGAAAACUGUAUAUGAUGCAUUAUUGAUGUAGUUUAUGCAAGAAAGAUAUCAUGGUACUCCAAAUCAGUAGACCCAUACUUAAGAGAAGGACCUUGUCCUACAUCACAUUAUGGAUAAAUGAAUAUAUAUAUAUACACACACACAUAUGUUUUAUGUUAAAAUAUUUUAAAUAUGUAUUAUUACUACAGCAUAACCUAGCCUAUCCUGAUUAAAGCUAGGCUAGGUUAUAUUACAGUAAUAAAGAAGUAAAACCAAAAAAACCCUUAAGUCUCAGUGACUUAAAACCACAGACUCUUUAUCUGGAUGACAUCCAGAGCCACUGUCUUCUAUAUGAUGACAUUCUAGCUACUUUACCCUUUCGGUACUUCUACAUCAGCAUAUACUUCUAUUAUCACUAUGACAGGGAAGAUAUGGAGAAUCAUGCUUCAACUUCUCAAUGCUUCUGUGCAGGAAUGAAACACACACAUCACUUCUACUCACAUUUUCAUUGGCCAGGAUUAGUCACAUGGCUAUAUCUAAUUUUUUUUUUUUUUUUUUUUUUUUGGAGAUAGAGUCUCGGUGUAUCCUCUAGGCUGGAGUGCAGUGGUGAGAUCUCGGUUCAAUGCAACUUCCGCCUCCCGGGUUCAAGCGAUUCUCAUGCCUCAACCUCCCUAGUAGCUGGGAUUACAGGCAUCUGCCACCAUGCCAGGCUAAUUUUGUUUUGUAUUUUUUAGUAGAGACAGGGUUUUGCCAUG
rnacentral:lncRNA from 10 species